UACGUGAGGGUGCAAGCGUUAAUCGGAAUUACUGGGCGUAAAGCGUGCGCAGGCGGUUAUGUAAGACAGAUGUGAAAUGCCCGGGCUUAACCUGGGAACUGCAUUUGUGACUGCAUGGCUAGAGUUUGGCAGAGGGGGGUAGAAUUCCACGUGAUAGCAGUGAAAUGCGUAGAUAUGUGGAGGAACACCCGAUGGCGAAGGCAGCCCCCUGGGUCAAGACUGACGCUCAUGCACGAAAGGCGUGG
rnacentral:rRNA from 1 species